UACGAAGGGGGCGAGCGUUGUUCGGAAUUACUGGGCGUAAAGGGCGCGUAGGCGGCGACCCAAGUCAGAUGUGAAAGUCCUGGGCUUAACCUGGGGACUGCAUUUGAUACUGGGUUGCUUGAAUUCGGGAGAGGAUAGCGGAAUUCCCAGUGUAGAGGUGAAAUUCGUAGAUAUUGGGAAGAACACCGGUGGCGAAGGCGGCUAUCUGGACCGACAUUGACGCUGAGGCACGAAAGCGUGGGGAGCAAACAGG
rnacentral:rRNA from 1 species